rnacentral:rRNA from 1 species
ACUGCCCGGUAGCUAAAUGCGGAAGAGAUAAGUGCUGAAAGCAUCUAAGCACGAAACUUGCCCCGAGAUGAGUUCUCCCUGAGACUUUAGAUCUCCUGAAGGAACGUUGAAGACGACGACGUUGAUAGGCCGGGUGUGUAAGCGCAGCGAUGCGUUGAGCUAACCGGUACUAAUGAACCGUGAGGCUUAACCUUACAACGCCGAAG